GGGUUUGGUCACCGGAGGUUGACCAGGAGGAAGGGGUUACCCAAUCUGGUGUUGCAAGGCCCGCUGCAUCAGUGUGGCUUUGCAGCGUGCUGUUAUUUUGAUGAUCGCCCUGGGGAAGUGGGCGGGUCUGGAAGUAUUGUCCCCAUUUGAAACUUGGGGAAACUGAGUCCCACAGAAAUUGGCUUCAACCGGAGAUGGGAACACCUCCAGACACCUUCACCCUGCUCAAACGUCGGGGUGGGGCCUGCGAUGGCCACAUGUUGUCCCCUGGGCCCUUGGUCACUCCCUCUCUCUGACCUUGAGACCUCUUCCCCAGCUGGUGGAGCGCAGACAUUUCCCGGCGACUUGCUCUGGGGACAGAUGUGUAGCAGGAAGCCCUGGAGGCCAUGCUCGGGCUCUGAACUGCCCUAGGUCUGUAGGCCGGCUGGGCAUGAGCCGCAGAUAUGGCCCAGCCUCCAGUCUUUGUCCUCAGUGUCCCUGAGACCCCAGAUGACCCAGAGG